UAGGGAAUCUUCCACAAUGGACGCAAGUCUGAUGGAGCAACGCCGCGUGAGUGAAGAAGGUCUUCGGAUCGUAAAGCUCUGUUGUUGGUGAAGAAGGAUAGAGGCAGUAACUGGUCUUUAUUUGACGGUAAUCAACCAGAAAGUCACGGCUAACUACGUGCCAGCAGCCGCGGUAAUACGUAGGUGGCAAGCGUUGUCCGGAUUUAUUGGGCGUAAAGCGAGCGCAGGCGGAAUGAUAAGUCUGAUGUGAAAGCCCACGGCUCAACCGUGGAACUGCAUCGGAAACUGUCAUUCUUGAGUGCAGAAGAGGAGAGUGGAACUCCAUGUGUAGCGGUGGAAUGCGUAGAUAUAUGGAAGAACACCAGUGGCGAAGGCGGCUCUCUGGCCUGCAACUGACGCUGAGGCUCGAAAGCAUGGGUAGCGAACAGGAUUAGAUACCCUGGUAGUCCAUGCCGUAAACGAUGAGCGCUAGGUGUUGGGGACUUUCCGGUCCUCAGUGCCGCAGCAAACGCAUUAAGCGCUCCGCCUGGGGAGUACGACCGCAAGGU
rnacentral:rRNA from 1 species